rnacentral:hammerhead_ribozyme from 1 species
AUCCAACUGAUGAGUCCUAAAUAAUACGAAACACGUGUCCAGGAU